rnacentral:sRNA from 1 species
AUGAUAUUGUUACACUUACAAUGCUAUCCUACACCGCCUAAAUUAAGCCAAGAGUUUAGCAAAAACCCAACUUUAUAUCCAUCUUCAAGUGUUCUUCUCUGUUCCUCGGAAUGCAAACUCAAGCUAAGAUCCAAAGCUUCUUUCCAGUGUUAUUGCACCGAAAAUGAAAACACCCAUGACCAUGAAGCCUCUUCUCAGGUUGAUUCUAAAUUACUACUUGCUUUAUCUUAAUUUAAUUCCAUUCGUAUCAUAUUCUGGGUUUAUCCGAAAUUUUGUUAAAGAUUAUUUUUUUUCUACAUUAAUUGAUAAGUAAUUCUAACAAUUCUGACAUACUAAAAUACAGACAUGGGUGUUUCAGAAAUGGGUGUGCAAGACUUUGGUUGCCAAGGUUUUUCUGUUAUUAGAAGAAAAAAAAAACAUUAUAGGCUAUAUAUAUUGUGAAUGUGAAAUGGGGGUUUGUGUUUCAAUUACUUUUUUUUAUCAAUACAGAAAAUGUGGUUGUGACAUGUAUGCUGAAUAAUUAGCAUGCAUUAACUACCAUUUUCAAUUAUGUGUAUUUUGUUACUAAUACGGGGAUGGGGUCUUUUGUGAUCCUUGAUUGUAGGGCUUCUCGGUGCUGUCAACAGAUAUUCCAUGGGAUAGUGGGAGUAUAUGGAGCACCAUGGCUUUUUAUAUGUUUAUUUUGCACAUUCCUUUGAGUUUUGGAGGGUUGUCUGUGGUUGCUGAGAUUUUGCAUGAACCUCAUCUGGAUCCACAGACUGAAGUGAGUGCAUUUGAUCUUUCUGAUCAAUAGUUGCCGUUUAUUACACUCUGUUUGGUUACCGGUAACAAUGAAAUAGGAGAGAAGAAAAUGAUGAAAAGUGAUUUACAAAGGAAACCAAUCAUCAUUGUGGCUUUUUUUUUUUUUGGGAUAAGUAAAGAAAAAAUGUUAUUUAAAAAGAAACUAGCCAGCCUGAGUACGUUGGGGAUGUACUGUGGGGGCAAAGUCAAGAAACAAAAUAACCAAUCAUUGUUAUUUUAUUUUCUUUUAGUAUUUGUUUUUGUUAUUAUAUAAAACUCUCUUUGCUUCUCAUAAAAUGCAGCUUAUCUAGCUCAGAAGGUGCUUUUGGGUGGGGGCUUAUAUUGUUUGAAAUUGGACAAGUCUGAAUAGGCAUCUGCAAUUAAGGCUAAUGACACACCAUGUAAUCAUGUACUCGCCAAACCCUUGCUGUUUUUUUGGUAAAAGGGACAAUGAUUACUUAAUGGCAACGAGUCUUGUUUUCAUGCCUCUCGCUCUAUAAUGUGGCUAAGCAAUAGGGUGUGGUAAUCUGGGCACUGUGUAACCUAGUUUUUAUUUUUUAUUUUUUUAUCUCAUGAUGGAGAGUUCUUCAUUUAAUUUUACUUCUUUUUUUUUCUCUCUUUUCUUCAAUGAUGAUGCUGAGUGCAUCAGUCUAACUCUUUUGUGGACUCUUUUUCUGAUUACAUUCUUGCACAGUGUUCAAAUUAAGAAUCCCAAGUUGCUUUUUGCUGCACUUGUUUGUUUAAACUCUCACUUUUGCCUGUGAUUCUGAUAAUGAAUUUGCUCACUGAUGACUGAUGUUUGACCCCCUUGCAGAUAUUAUCACUGCUUGCAGUUCAAAUUCUAGAGCUCAUUGGGACUCUGUUUCUACUACAGUGGACUGCUAAGCCGCAAUAUAAGUUUAUAAACUUCUUUAAAGCUAACAAGUUAUCGAAAGAGCGGAACUGGUUGUUGGCAUCAGUACUAGGAUGUGGGUUUCUGUUUCUGUUGGUUUUCAUUACAUCAAUCCUUGCUGACAGAUUGAUUGGGCCCAAGGUUGGUGCAUUACAGUUUUCUGCUGAUCCACACCAAAUCUUGAGAUUAGUUUUUUCCUUUUUGUUCAUGAGAUUAUCUAUAGUUUUUGAGUAAGUUAAUCUUUUAAAUGAAUAAAAGACUGAUAUGAUCCGAAGAUUUUUGCAAAAGCAAUUUAGCUACUAGUCCGAAAACCAGAAGCUGAAGGCCAAUGACACUAGCUAACUAGCUGAUAGAGAUGCCACAGCUGUUUAUGUCAAACUGCUGAGGAAUUGCUUUCUCAUUUGCCUAAUGCAUACAUGUUUAUUAUUGGAAAACUGGAUAAAGAUACAGUGAGCCAGUUAGAGUGUUAGUAUACUUAGGAAUUGAUAGAAGAUGAGUUUUAGUAGUUGAAGGGGUUGUAUUCUUUGCAUAGAGCUUGAUAAAAAUUUUCAGAUGAUGAAAAUUUCAUUGAGAAUUAUAGGUUGUACAACUUGUAUUAUGAUGUGCAUAGUUCUUCAGACAACUAAAGCAUUUAGAAGAGGUUUUCAGAGCAACUUCAGCUUCAUGAGCUGUGGUGCCUAGCCAAUUGUGCCACACCUUGGGGAUCAAUUAAAGGAAAUUUUAUAGGUUUAAUUGAACAAUUAGAAUUUUCCAGGCUGAUGCAUUAAGUAGCAAAUCACAUCUGUUUUGCAAGCAGUUAAAAAUGAAUGCUUUCAAGAAGAAGAUGAAGAAACAAUUUAGGAUAAAAGUCUCAACAAUCAUUCAUAUGUUUCUUAAGCAAUCACUCAUAUACUAUGUCAAAGAAUUCAAUCAUACCCUCAAAAGGAGCUUCUGAGCUGCUGUCUGCACUUUUUUUAAUUGAAGAUUUGAUAGAUUGGAUUGACGUAAUUAGAUAAUUGGCACUUCUGAUUCUAACAGAGACUAGGACUUGAAAUUAAAGUUAUAGUCCAUUGGACCUGAGACCAGACCACAUUAUUGCGUCUGUUCUCAAAAUCUAGAAAUUAACAGACCAUUCUUGAUUUCUGAAACCUAUAGAACAUGGGUUAACUAAAACAUCAACAUAUAACCUUAUAGAAAAGAUAGACUAUUAGACAUAACUUGGUAACUAGAAAUUCCCCAAGUGGGUCUCACAUCAAAUUUAGAUAGUAUUUUCUAAGGUAUCUUAUGCCUGUAAUUUUAUCUUUUCUUUAACCUCUUCGAGUGAACAUUGUAAUUGCAUCUUUGGAAUUCAGCCGUGCUGGUCAAGAGUUGCAAAGGUUGGAGAAUUUACACUCAUAAAAAAUCUGAAUUAUUAUUUUUUAAUCUGGAAUUUAUUAUAUUUUGGAAGCUGGAUGGUGAAGGAUCACCUGAUCAUCAUUCCUGGUUAUGGGUUAAUUUCGAAGGCUUUAUAUUCUAUCCAAAUGCUAUGGGGAACAAAAAGAAGUCGUUAAAUUUCCACAGUUGUUUAAAUGUUACCUCAUUAUAUAUUAUGGAAUAAGGAAAAAGAAUGAUGAGUUUGGUGGCAUCUAUUCUUCAAUCUACAGUGUGGACCAAAGAGUUCUUGAUUUCUUGUCUUAGAACUUCAUCUUAGGGCAUUUGCUUGGGUAAUAUGCUUCAAGGCUUUGGUGUAUGCAUACAACACCUUAUUGCUUUAGAAGGAACUCAUAAAUUCUCACCUCUUGCCUCGUUUUGUUGAGUUUCUAGUUUUAUUUUUUGGGAGGGGGAAUUUGGGGGUUUUAUUUCCUCCAUAUUUAUGUGUUCCAAAAUAUCUCAUGAAAAGAGAUAUUUUAAUCAGUGGAGGCUGGGGUUUCACAGGACUUGGAGCUCUGAAUUUUUGGAAAUGCAGCUUUCUUUCAAGUAACUUCUCUUAUGACAUUUGCAUGCAGGCUGUGAACAACCCUGUAUUGAAGGAGAUCCUCCUAAGCAGCAACAUUUCAAAAGCAACUUGUUUCCUUGUUUACUGUAUUACAACUCCCCUUUUGGAAGAAACUGUUUACAGAGGGUUUCUGUUGAGAUCAAUUUCAGCCACAAUGAAAUGGCAGCGAGCAAUCUUCAUAAGCUCAGUCAUCUUUAGUGCAGCUCACUUUUCCGGUGAGAACUCUUUACAGUUAUUCAUCAUUGGGUGUGUCCUUGGAUGUUCUUAUUGCUGGACUGGAAAUUUAAGUUCCUCCAUUUUAAUACAUUCGCUGUACAAUGCCAUGACACUAUUAUUAACAUUUUUGUCCUAAAAAUUUUAUUUUAGCCAUUUUGAUAGCCAGGGAUUUUGUGGAAGUUGGACCUACUUUUUUCCUCGGGUCAUUGAUAUUAAAUCUAACUAUAAUAUAAUAUGCACACUUACAUUCAGUUAUGAAAUCGGACCUGUAAGCAUCCACAGGAUGAGAACUUCAUGAUCUAUUUUCCUAACGGAUCUCUCUUAAGCCAGGUCAAUAUAUGUCUAUAUGUUUGAGUAAUUUGUUUUAAAAUCUCCUAAGUCUUAUUGUUUUUCUUUCUUACUUUUUUUUUUUCAUAUAUCAUGUUUAAUUGCUCUUGUAGCAAACUAUUUAGUAUGCUAUUUUGGGAUAGAUAUGUUGUAAGAUCAUCUACGUUUGGAAAGCAUGACAAGAUGUAUGCUGCUUGAACUCAAUUGACAAACUCUUUCCUUUGUUUUCCAUAGCUCAAGGAUUCUUCAAACCCAAGAUUUUCUUCUACUCAUUAAUUUUUUAUAUUCCUUUUAUAUAAAUAAAAUGUGAUAACAAGAGAGGCUUUCUACAUUGCCCCUAUACUGUAAUGUAUGUAAUAUACACUACAUAUGCAUUACUAUCUUCCUAGUAAUGUAUGUAAAUAUAGGUAUCUAGCUAUCUGCAUUAUUUGUUUGGCUAUAUGAUAACGGCAUGCAAGAAAGACAAGAAAAGAAGAGAAAAAGACAAUGGUUAAUAGAUUCUCUUUGGAACAAAGCCCAGAGAGAGCCUUUCUUUUUCUUUUCUUUUUUCUUUUUCUUUUUUUCAGGAGACAGAGCCUUUUUGAUAGGGCAGGAAAUGGCUCUUCUAAUGCUACUGUAUGAUUAGAAUUCUUAGGAUCUAUGAAUCCACCAUAGCUUGGACGGAGAGCUUUACUAAUAUCAUAGUCAAUUGGAUUGUGGACCCUCCUAGUGCCUUGAUUAGCACCUCGUGAAAUUCUAUUGAAUCCCCCAAGUACUGCAACAUGAAACAAUUUUUGUAAUCUUAAGCGUAUGCUUCCUGUGAGCUGAAUUUGUAGCAAGUGUAUGAUCAUUACAAUUUACAAGGCUUCCUUUGUAACCCCUUACAGCAACACCAAGAGCAACCUAGUCUAAGAGAUUGUGUUUGCUCUAAAGCCAAUCUUGAGGGGAUCAAACUAAUCCACAUAAACCAUUGAUGUUUAGUUGAAUUUAGAACCCUGGAACUGCAAUUUAAAGUGAUCACACAUUACAUAAUAUAGAUGAUAGAUCAUUCUCUUUCAAGUAUUUUUUUUUUUUUAAUGGGAUUUAAAUCCUAGAUAUAUUGGAAACACCAAGAGAUGUCAAUCAGUUGAAUUACAAAACUCUUAGCGUACUCUUUCAAGUUGAUCAAAUCUUGCCCAACAACUCAAGCACAAAGAGAAAGAAGAUAAUAGAAUGCUGCAAUCAGCGUCCUUGUUCCUUUUACAUAACUAGCAUGGGACAAUUUGUAUACAAAAUUGUGGACAAAUAACAGUAAGGUUUUUUUUUUUUCUUUUCUUUUCAGAUGAGUAA